rnacentral:rRNA from 1 species
CAACCUGCCUAUAACUAGGGAAUAACCUUGCGAAAGUAAGACUAAUACCCUAUGAUUUCCUUUGAUGGCAUCAGAUUAGGAAUAAAGAUUUAUCGGUUAUAGAUGGGGAUGCGUCUGAUUAGCUUGUUGGCGGGGUAACGGCCCACCAAGGCAACGAUCAGUAGGGGUUCUGAGAGGAAGGUCCCCCACAUUGGAACUGAGACACGGUCCAAACUCCUACGGGAGGCAGCAGUGAGGAAUAUUGGUCAAUGGGCGGAAGCCUGAACCAGCCAAGUAGCGUGCAGGAUGACGGCCCUAUGGGUUGUAAACUGCUUUUAUACAGGAAUAAAGUUAGCCACGUGUGGUUAUUUGUAGGUACUGUAUGAAUAAGGACCGGCUAAUUCCGUGCCAGCAGCCGCGGUAAUACGGAAGGUCCAGGCGUUAUCCGGAUUUAUUGGGUUUAAAGGGAGCGUAGGCCGUCUGUUAAGCGUGUUGUGAAAUGUAGAUGCUCAACAUCUGAAUUGCAGCGCGAACUGGCAGACUUGAGUGUGCGCAACGUAGACGGAAUUCGUGGUGUAGCGGUGAAAUGCUUAGAUAUCACGAAGAACUCCNAUUG